AGAAUCGAUGAUGAUACCUUGGCUCCCUCUUCUGAACGCCCUGAGGAUAUUGCCACUGUUACCCAAUUCUUGUCUGAGAUGCU